GGACAGAGUGGAGAGGGCGCAUGUGAGGGAGAAGCUGAGGACAGAGUGGAGAGGGCGCAUGUGAGGGAGCAGCUGAGGACAGAGUGGAGAGGGUGCAUGGGAGGGAGCAGCUGAGGACAGAGUGGAGAGGGUGCAUGGGAGGGAGAAGCUGAGGACAGAGUGGAGAGGGCGCAUGUGAGGGAGAAGCUGAGGACAGAGUGGAGAGGGUGCAUGGGAGGGAGAAGCUGAGGACAGAGUGGAGAGGGCGCAUGUGAGGGAGAAGCUGAGGACAGAGCGGAGAGGGCGCAUGUGAGGGAGCAGCUGAGGACAGAGUGGAGAGGGCGCAUGUGAGGGAGAAGCUGCAGGGAAAACUGCAGUGGAAGGUCUUGGGAAAGUAGUGGAAAUGGCCUGCACCUGAUUGGACGAUGCCGAUGCACAGCAACAAGCGUGGAGCACAAACACCGCAAAGGACCCAGCAGCCUGUUCUGGCGAGCAAGGUGAGGUCGACCGCCCUGGCCCACAACACCGUUACAGCUGGAGGGAGAGCCUAGGAGACUGCACCGUGUUUGAGUCCGGCCAGGGAUGCUCAGAGGAGCUGGGCGACUGCUCACGCAGAGCGGGGAAAAAGUGGUGUGCUUGCCUCUCUACUUCUUUCCACACCAGCACCCUGUUUCUAGCUGCGAGAAGGCCAGCACCAUUCUGGACAUAAACAGGUAGCAGCUGCACCAGCUCUGCUGUGUGCACUCAGCAGGUAGUGGGGACUGUUGGCAGCGGCUGCCACAGCAGUUCAAGUCAGCCGGUGGGGUCUGACCCACCUUGUCAUCAGGGCAACAACACCAGCCCCACUGUGCCACUUGGCAAUGCGUGGGGACGGGGAGCCAUCCCCACUGAAAGGAAGUGCUGCCCAUGGGGACUGUUGUACCCGCCAGCACAAUUGUGAAGGAACCACAGGCCUGUGAUCCGGGGAUGUUACCAGAGGGGAAAAUCCAUAUUCCCCACAGACUUUGAGUCUGGCUGAGGGGAUCUGCCUCAACCUGCCCAAGCAAAACACACAUGGGCAGUGGCUCUGAGAACCUCUCAGUCUCUCUGUGGGUGAGACAGGUCAGUAGGAUGGAGUGGACUCUCUUGCACUUCUUGACUGUGGGAACCCUGUGUGUUGAGACCGUGGAAACACUGUGACUACAUGAGAAAGGGCAGGAUGUAGCUGGGGUUUCUGGGCAAGCUGUGGGUGCAGAGCCACACUCACAACUCCUUGGUUGCCAGGACAGCUCAUUGCAGCUGAAACUGUGCUCACAGGGAGGCCUGCACAGAUGAUUCACGUAGAUGAGUGCUGAACACACUGGGGACUAACACCAGGGCAUCGCUCAGCUUAAAGAAGAGGAGGUGAUGGAGUGAUCACACCAGCAGACAUAAACGACCAUACCCCCUUCUGUUGAUAAGAGGAGAGCUACCAGCACCAACUUGCGUGUCACCUUGGAUAUUUGCUCCACCCUGGAGCCCUGACAGAGCUCCCUGGACAUACCUACCACACACCUCUUGGUAUUCACUGAAAGCACAGAUAUUCCACUAAGCCACAGAGACACCGCUCAAAAAUAAAAGCCAUGGGGGUGGGGGACAACAAAAAUUAACUCCAUAAAUGCCUAAAAACAAAUGCAGAAAUUCAAGAAACAAGAAUAAGGAAGACACCAUGAGCCCCCCACCCAGCAAAGGAACACAAUAAAAUUUCAAUAUUAGAAUGUGAAGGUGAAGAGACAGAUGAAAUGCUGGAAAUGGAUUACUCAAAAGCAGUCAGAAGCAAAUCGACAAGCUAAAGAAAAGCAUAUGUGACAUGAGUGAAAAUUUUUCCCAUGGAAUUGAGAUUUUAAACAGAAAUCAAAAUGAAAUAUUAGAAAUAAAGAAAUCAGUAGAUAAAAUAAAAAAUGCAGUGGAAAGCCUCUACAGCAGACUCAGUGAGGCAGAAGAAAGAAUAUCCAAGCUAGAAGAUAAAUCUUUGGAAAACUUACAGUCAGACCAAAAAUAAAAAUUAAAAAAAGAAAAUGGAAAACUUAAGUGUUGGAGAUUUAUAGGAUGCUAUCAAACAACCCAACAUACUUGUCUUACGAGUUUCUGAAAGUGUGGAAACAGAGAAUGGGCCAGCAGGCCUAUUUAGUGAAAUGAUUACAGAAAACUCCCCCAAUUUGGAGAAAUAAAGGGACAUCCCAGUAAACACAUAGAACUCCUAACAGACAUGACCAGAAAAGAUCUUCACCACUUCACAUUGUAGUCAAACUCCACAAUAAAACAGAAAGAAAAGAUUCUGAAGUGUGCACAGGAGAAACUUCAGAUUACUUUCAGAGGAUCUCCAAUUAGACUUAACAGCUAAUUGCUCAUCAGAAAGUCUACAGGCUAGAAGGGAAUGGCGAGAUAUAUUCCAGGUCUUAAGAGAAAAAUCUUGUCAACCCAGAAUACUGUACCCUGCAAGCUCUCAUUUAUGAAUGAAAAUGAAAUAAAGACCUUCCAUAACAAACAGAAACUGUAAGAAUUUGUUGCCACUCAUCCAGCCCUACAAAAGAUGUGUACAGAUGUGCUACACACAGAAACACAAAAACACAGCCAUCAUUAUGAAAGAAUGACAAGGCAGAAGAUCCCCUGGUAGAAGUACAGAAGAAAUCCAAAGAAAACAAUAGGAAUAUUAAUGGGAAAAUGGCCGGGCCAAGUCGUUACUUGCCUCAACUUCACAAAAUUAACCUCUGUACUAUUUUCUAUAAACAUUAUAGUUUCAGUUUUCAUGUUUUGGUUUCAUAAUCUACCUUUUUUUUUUUUACUUGGAUAUGAUAUAAGGUAUCCAUUUGAUUUUUUUUCCAUGUGACUACUCAGUACUUUCAGUACCAUUUAUUGAAGUGUGUCUUAUCCAAUGAUAUGCACUAUCACCUUUGUCAUGAAUCUGGAGUCUUUGUAUGCAUUAGUCUGUUUCUGGGCUCCUGUUUUCCAUUGCUUUCUAUUCAUGUACCCAAGCUAACAACAUACUGCUUUAUUAUAGUAGCUUUAUAAGAGCAUGAAUAUAUGUUAGAGAAAAUAUUCCUCCCUUAUUCUUCCCUAAGAGCAUUUCCCAGCUCCUGGUUUAUGUUGGUAUGUCUGUGUGUCUAUAAUUUGAUGAGGGAUUGUUUAGUUUUCCCUCCCAUCGACUUUGCCCCUUCCUGGGAGAUUCUCACCAAUGCCAGUAAUAACAACCAAUGUGUUUUAACCUGGGCAAUCAUAUCCUCCAGAUUUUUCAUUCAUGGGUCUUGAGGACUGUUUUCCACAAGCAGGUCUAUCAGUUUCCACAAUGACUGACCAGGCUGCCAAAAUGAGUCUUUCACCUUGAAUAUUUUGAUUCACUUCCCAGAAAGCCACAGCAGAAACUUGACUUUAUGCCCAAUUUGCUGUGACAGUUUGUAUGCAAUUAAGCACAAAUGUGGCCGGCGCCGCGGCUCACUAGGCUAAUCCUCCGCCUUGCGGCGCCGAGACACCAGGUUCUAGUCCCGGUCAGGGCGCCGGAUUCUGUCCCGGUUUCCCCUCUUCCAGGCCAGCUCUCUGCUGUGGCCAGGGAGUGCAGUGGAGGAUGGCCCAAGUACUUGGGCCCUGCACCCCAUGGGACACCAGGAGAAGUACUUGGCUCCUGCCAUCGGAUCAGCGUGGUGCGGUGGCCAUUGGAGGGUGAACCAGCGGCAAAGGAAGACCUUUCUCUCUGUCUCUCUCUCUCACUGUCUAACUCUGCCUGUCGAAACGGAAUAACAA